rnacentral:rRNA from 1 species
CCUACGGGUGGCUGCAGUGAGGAAUAUUGGUCAAUGGGCGAGAGCCUGAACCAGCCAAGUCGCGUGAGGGAUGACGGCCCUAUGGUUUGUAAACUUCUUUUGUCUGGGAAUAAAAUGCUCCACGUGUGGGAUUCCGUAUGUACCAGAUGAAUAAGCAUCGGCUAACUCCGUGCCAGCAGCCGCGGUAAUACGGAGGAUGCGAGCGUUAUCCGGAUUUAUUGGGUUUAAGGGGUGCGUGGGCGGAAGGUAAAUUCAGAGUUAAAAUUUUGGGGUUAAACCUCAAAGUGUCGUUGAAACUUGUUGUCGUGAGUGAACGAGAGGUAGGCGGAAUUCGUGGUGUAGCGGUGAAAUGCUUAGAUAUCACGAAGAACUCCGAUUGCGAAGGCAGCAUACUGGACUUCAACUGACGCUGAUGCUCGAAAGUGUGGGUAUCAAACAGGAUUAGAUACCCUUGUAGUC